rnacentral:rRNA from 1 species
AUUGAACGCUGGCGGCAUGCCUUACACAUGCAAGUCGAACGGCAGCACGGGAGCAAUCCUGGUGGCGAGUGGCGAACGGGUGAGUAAUACAUCGGAACGUGCCCAGUAGUGGGGGAGUAACCGGCGAAGACGGACUAAUACCGCAUACGACCUACGGGUGGAAGACGGGGGAGUCGCAAGACCUCGCGCUAUCGGAGCGGCCGAUGUCAGAUUAGCUUGUUGGUGGGGUAAAGGACCUACCAAGGCGACGAUCUGUAGCUGGUCUGAGAGGACGACCAG